UGAGUACGAGAUGCUACGGCAUCGAAGCAGUCUUGUCAUACUUCCAAGAAAAGCUUGCACUGUCAUAAACAAAGAAUGCCUGUACCAUAACCGACACAGGUGGGUAGGUAGAGUAUACUAAGGGGCGCGAGAUAACUCUCUCUAAGGAACUCGGCAAAAUGACUCCGUAACUUCGGGAGAAGGAGUGCCUUAUUUCUAAGGUUGCAAUAACAAGAUCCAAGCGACUGUUUACCAAAAACACAGGUCUCCGCUAAGUCGUAAGACGAUGAAUGGGGGCUGACGCCUGCCCAGUGCCAGAAGGUUAAAGAAGUUGGUUAGCAUUAGCGAAGCUGAUAACUGAAGCCCUGGUGAACGGCGGCCGUAACAAUAACGGUCCUAAGGUAGCGAAAUUCCUUGUCGGGUAAGUUCCGACCCGCACGAAAGGCGUAAUGAUUUGGAUACUGUCUCGGAGAGGGGCUCGGUGAAAUAGACUUGUCUGUGAAGAUGCGGACUACCUGCACCUGGACAGAAAGACCCUAUGAAGCUUUACUGUAACUUGAGAUUGAAAUUGGACUUUAUUUGCGCAGUAUAGGUGGGAGGCGUUGAGAAUAAUCUUGCGGGAUUGUUGGAGCCAUCAGUGAGAUACCACUCUUGUAAUGUUAGAUUUCUAACUUUGUAUCACUAUCUGGUCAAAGAACAGUUUCAGGCGGGCAGUUUGACUGGGGCGGUCGCCUCCCAAAGGGUAACGGAGGCGCACAAAGGUUUCCUCUGAACGGGUAGAAAUCGUAUCUAGAGUGUAAAGGCAUAAGGAAGCUUGACUGUGAGACCUACAAGUCGAGCAGGGACGAAAGUCGGUCUUAGUGAUCUGACGGUGCUGAGUGGAAAGGCCGUCACUCAACGGAUAAAAGUUACUCUAAGGAUAACAGGCUGAUCUCCCCCAAGAGUUCACAUCGACGGGGAGGUUUGGCACCUCGAUGUCGGCUCAUCGCAUCCUGGGGCGGUAGUCCGUCCCAAGGGUUGGGCUGUUCGCCCAUGAAAGCGGUACGCGAGCUGGGUUCAGAACGUCGUGAGACAGUUCGGUCCAUAUCCGGUGUAGGCGUUAGAAUAUUGAGAGGAGCCUUCUCUAGUACGAGAGGACCGAGAAGGACAUACCUCUGGUGUACCAGUUAUCGUGCCAACGGUAAACGCUGGGUAGCUACGUAUGGAGUGGAUAACCGCUGAAAGCAUCUAAGUGGGAAGCCCACCUCAAGAUAAG
rnacentral:rRNA from 1 species